UGGCUCUCGCAUCGAUGAAGAACGCAGCGAAAUGCGAUAAGUAAUGUGAAUUGCAGAAUUCAGUGAAUCAUCGAAUCUUUGAACGCACCUUGCACCCUAUGGCAUUCCAUAGGGUACACCCGUUCGAGUAUCAUUGUAAUCUCACCUCCACGACUCUUGUUGUGUGAAGUGGACUUGGACCUUGUCGUGUGAUGACGACCGGUCUGAAAUGCAUGAGUGUACCCUGCCGUCGCAGCGUCUUCAGUGUGAUAAGCAUCUUCACUGAUCAAGUCUCCUUUGAGACACGCACGCGCCGUGGGCUCUGCGCUUCCAACCGUCCUUGUGGACAGUUGUUGACGAUUUGAUCUCGAAUCGGGUGGGACUACCCGCUGA
rnacentral:misc_RNA from 1 species